UACGGAGGGUGCAAGCGUUAUCCGGAUUCACUGGGGUUAAAGGGUGCGUAGGCGGGUUGGUAAGUCCGUGGUGAAAUCUCCAAGCUUAACUUGGAAACUGCCGUGGAUACUAUCAAUCUUGAAUAUCGUGGAGGUAAGCGGAAUAUGUCAUGUAGCGGUGAAAUGCUUAGAUAUGACAUAGAACACCAAUUGCGUAGGCAGCUUACUACACGAUCAUUGACGCUGAGGCACGAAAGCGUGGGGAGCAAACAGG
rnacentral:rRNA from 1 species